rfam:Planomicrobium glaciei strain CGMCC 1.6846 genome assembly, contig: Ga0070170_103
ACGGUGUUCCGCUGCAACAGCCAAUGUGUGCAAGAGCAUCUG